UACGUAGGGCGCAAGCGUUAUCCGGAAUUAUUGGGCGUAAAGAGCUCGUAGGCGGCCUGUCGCGUCGGAUGUGAAAGCCCGGGGCUUAACCCCGGGUCUGCAUUCGAUACGGGCAGGCUAGAGUGUGGUAGGGGAGAUCGGAAUUCCUGGUGUAGCGGUGAAAUGCGCAGAUAUCAGGAGGAACACCGGUGGCGAAGGCGGAUCUCUGGGCCAUUACUGACGCUGAGGAGCGAAAGCGUGGGGAGCGAACAGG
rnacentral:rRNA from 1 species